CUACCUGCCCCUCUAUUGCCUCUGCAGUGUCUAGUGAUGGCCAGUUGUCAUUCCUCCUGUUGAUAGCAAUUUUCACAUCAUGUAGUUCAAUCCUCUAUCUUUAUUAGAAAUCUUAUUUGUCCUUGAAUGUGUGCAAUAUUCAUAAAAAUGAAUUUAUUAUCAAAUUAACAUAUAAAAGUCCUUGAAACUGGUAUUUUUGAAGAUGUUGUUAAACUUAUGAGCUAUGUUAGUCACAGCAUUCUCCUUUUAUCAAACAGAAUGAAGGAGCUGCUCUUGUUGAGAAGAAAAGAGAACAGCGAAAAAAAAGGUGUCAGAAGUUUACAAAAGCAGGAAGAGAGAAAUUAAAACAAAUCCUGUGUAAGCUGGUUUGAGUUCAGCAUUUCGCAACCGAUGUGGUUAAUUUAUAUGGUGAUGAAUGUGAGAGUAACGCCUGGUGAUUUUGACUCACUUUGGAUGAGAAGUAUGAAAGUAACCACCACUGAGUUGUAUUAUUGCCAUUCACAACAUCAAGCCACAUGAGAGUGAGAAACAGAGGACGGAAAGGAAAAGAAUGUGGUGUAUGGAAUCUGUGAAUUCCACCAGUGCCCUUAAAUUCCACAAACUGAGUGAGGUUCCAGAGUACCCUGCAGCAAACUUGGAUCAGAGAACAGCUAUUUGCUGAAUCUUUUCUAAAUGUUUCUUGCAAGAGUGUUCUGAAAAACACGGAGUCAUUUCAGUCAAUGAGUUGUUGUUCUCCCCCUCACCACAUUUCUGUGGUCACUGUCACCAGUGGAAAUCACAAGCUCGUUAUCAUUACUUGAACUGGCCUACACCAAUUCCCUUGAUCCAGUGGACUGAUGAUCCAUCAGUAUCCUGCUUUCUUCAUGCCCCAGUCAAGGUAGAAUGGGAAAAUACAGUUUUCUGCUCUCUGUGAAAAGAGCACAUGUUCAGAAAGAACCUGACUUUUGCUCUGGCCUGGAUGUAUAUAAGUAGUUUUGUAUGCAAGAAUCAGCUGUUGAAGCCUACAAGUUAUGCAGGUCCAGUGAAUUCAGUGGAGAUCCUUCUGACUGACAGCAACAUCCAGGCACCUACUGACAGAGAAUCCUAGUGAAGAGACCAGGGGAGUUAAACCAGUACAGAUCUGACAACCUGUACGACUGGACAGAACAAAGUGACCACCAAAAGCGGGACUUUGUGGGCCAGUUGGAUAAAACAUAAGCUCAUCUCGCCCCCAAAACCCCGACUCUGGAACCACAACCUUCCAAGAUUCAAUUUGUAAGUAAAGUAUCUUUGUAAGAUAUGCCCAAUCAACUGAGUCAUUGCUUACAGAGUGGGUAAUUUUCAGACUAAUAAAAAGAGAAUAUUGUAGCCAAGUCACAAUACACACUCCUUCAUUUUCUGGACAGCAGGAAUUACUAAGAGAUACUAUUUGUUUUUAUUCAUAUUUUAUGAUUUAUUUAUCAGGCAGGUAAGAAAUACCUCCUCUAAGUGUCUAUAAAAUGACAUGGAACUCCCCAGAAUAACAGUUAUUUAUUAGACCCAGCACUUAAACUAUCUAUUAAGACUUCUUCUCAAAGUGGGUAACAAAUUACUGUGUAUCUCUUCCACUGUGUCAGACUAAAGUUGACACAUUAUAGAGAAAUGUCUGUCAAUAGUCUAAAUUUCUUAUUUGUAUGAUAAACUAGAAAAUAUUUUCAUUUACCUGAAACAAGUCUUUUCCCAUUAACAAUGAUAGUUUCAAGUAUUCAGCUGUGUGUCUACCACCCUCAGUAUGAUGUUUCUUAAGAACUUCUUUCCAAGGUGAGAGGAAACAGAUUCAUGGACAAAAGGAAUGUGUUUUCUAAAUCCUCACUUUAUAAUUCCAACAGAACUUUUAAAUAAAAUCCAAGUUUAAAAGCAUUAUAGUUUACACUUGGAUGGCUGAAGUAGGUAAAUGCUGUCAGUUACUUUAAAAGAAACUAAUUACUGUGCUUGAAAAGCCACUAUUACAUUCAUUCUGCUUUUGAUAAUCAAAACACAGAGCCGAAGAAUGCUGUCCUAGCUGAACCGCUGCAUAAUCAGCAAACACACCUUGACAGGAAAACACAGAGAAGUUGAUGGAAAUUCUGGCUAAGUAGAAAUGUUUAAAUAAUUCCUCUUUCUACAGGCCACACAUUUUAACCGACUAAUUUGAUUUAGGUGGCUUUGCUGGCCAUGAUUCCACACGAGCCGCUCAGACGGUUCGCAUCGACACCGCGCGUUU